rnacentral:tRNA from 1 species
GGCGGCGUAGCUCAUCCGGCUAGAGCGGCGGUCUCAUAAUCCGCAGGUAGGUGGUUCGAGUCCACCCGCCGCCACCA